rnacentral:rRNA from 1 species
AGAGAAUAGAUACCCUGGUAGUCCAGGGUGUAAACGCUGCGGGCUUGGUGUUGGGGUCCUUAGUGGGCGCCCAGUGCCGGAGAGAAAGUUGUUAAGCCUGCUGCUUGGGGAGUAUGUCCGCAAGGAUGAAACUUAAAGGAAUUGGCGGGGGAGCACCGCAACGGGAGGAGCGUGCGGUUCAAUUGGAUUCAACGCCGAAAACCUCACCAGGAGCGACGGAUAUAUGAAGGUCAAGCUGAUGACUUUACCUGAUUUUCCGAGAGGUGGUGCAUGGCCGUCGUCAGUUCGUACCGUAAGGCGUUCUCUUAAGUGAGAUAACGAACGAGACCCUCACCAUUAAUUGCUAGUCUCUUCUCCGGAGGAGGCGCACAUUAAUGGGACCGCUGGCGCUAAGUCAGAGGAAGGAGAGGUCAACGGUAGGUCCGUAUGCCCCGAAUCCCCUGGGCAACACGCGCGCUACAAAGGGUGGGACAAUGGGCUUCGACACCGAAAGGUUGAAGACAAUCCUGAAACCCAUCCAUAGUUCGGAUCGGGGGUCUGUAACCCGCCCC